rnacentral:lncRNA from 1 species
UUUUCUUUCUCUUAAAGUUUCUAAAGAGAAAAUUAAAUCAAAAUGUCCAAGAUUUUGCAUUUUUAACACUUUGAUCCCUGCAUUUUUAAAAAUGUUAUUCAGUCCUUAAUAUUUGAAAAGAACAUGGAAUAGUUCAAUCUUUCAUCUGUGGUCCUAAUGGGUCAAUCCAUUUUCUGGCAAAGGUUAACAUGACAUUGGAUGGAUAAGAUUAAAGUAUAGACCUUACUAGAUCCAUUUCCCUGCUAGGAAAUAAAAAUUUCAAUACUAAACCAAAAAGCAAAUAAUUAAAGUUUCAAUUUCACCUCUAGCAUCAAAACUAAAAUUGGACUAACUUAAUUCAAUGGUGAUAAAACAAGUAUGGCAACAGAAUUAAAAUUAAAACCUGGAAUUCAAACUAGCUUUAUCCUUUAGAAUAAUUAUAAUCUUCCUCCCCUUGGGAGAAAUUAAAAUUAUAGUUAGAUAUAUUAAAUUGAACCUAAAAGACCAAUUUGUUGAUUAUUAUUGUCAUGUUUUAGUUUUUGCAUGCAAUUUAAUGAAAUCGUAUUAGUUAAUUCAUUCUCAAUUACUUUAAGAUCAGAAACUAAAGAUAAUAUAAAUAGAAUUAUAGGAUGGAAGUGUUUGCUUGCUAAACUUUAGGAGCUUACUUGUAAUUUUCUCCGGAUUGAUUUUAAUACUCAAGGACGUGAGAAGGUGAGGGCCACUCGUUGCAAAAUAUCAGCCUCGAAAAAUAUACAACCACUCCUAUUUGUGUUUCUGUUUGGACCUUAUUGGUCCUGGUUUAGAUGGGUCUGCUUAACUCUGGGUUUUUCCUUUUUCUUUUUCCUGAUCCUGUGAGCAUUUAUUUAUAAAAAGAAAAGAGAAAUAUGCCCAUCAUUUAUCAAGUAGUAGUUAAAAAGAACAGAAUAAUGUAAUUAAAUGGAGAUUUUCUUAAUUUUGAAAUGAUCCCUUCAUUAAUUGUUUGUUUUACUUACAGAUUAUACAGAAUCAUAAAUGAAGUGAAAAGUAAGGGCUUCAUCAAAAUAAGAAAGUGUGUGUAGCCAAGCAAAUACUCAAGAAACAGUAACGGGAGAUGUGGGUCUAAUGACUUUAACUUGCCUGUCAAAUUUAGCUGGAGAAAGGUGGGAUUAUGUGCUUGGAGAUGCAACAGUCCUGGAAUAAAUUGGGGCAACUAGAAUGGCUUCAGAAUUUGGACUCUUUGAUCCUUGAAAUCGGAAGAAGGCUUGGAAUUUUAAGGAAGAAGUGAUCUAAAUGGAUGACCCAACAUCAGCCAUUCAGCAUCAUCUUUUUGUACAAAGUGACUUUCGGUUAUAACAAUCUUUUGGCUUCUCUUUCACAAGUUCUAUUGUUGCCGCCUCUCAAUGACAACUUAUUAAAAGCUUCGUAUGACUUUUAGCUGCAUGCACUUCUCCCUACACAUUUUCUUUAACAGGGGAAAUUUGCAUUUUAGAUUUUAAAUCCAUUCCAUGGGCAAGUUCAUAAUUUCAAG